rnacentral:rRNA from 1 species
GAUGAACGCUGGCGGCGUGCCUAAUACAUGCAAGUCGAGCGAACGGACGAGAAGCUUGCUUCUCUGAUGUUAGCGGCGGACGGGUGAGUAACACGUGGAUAACCUACCUAUAAGACUGGGAUAACUUCGGGAAACCGGAGCUAAUACCGGAUGAUAUUUUGAACCGCAUGGUUCAAUAGUGAAAGACGGUCUUGCUGUCACUUAUAGAUGGAUCCGCGCUGCAUUAGCUAGUUGGUAAGGUAACGGCUUGCCAAGGCAACGAUGCAUAGCCGACCUGAGAGGGUGAUCGGCCACACUGGAACUGAGACACGGUCCAGACUCCUACGGGAGGCAGCAGUAGGGAAUCUUCCGCAAUGGGCGAAAGCCUGACGGAGCAACGCCGCGUGAGUGAUGAAGGUCUUCGGAUCGUAAAACUCUGUUAUUAGGGAAGAACAUAUGUGUAAGUAACUGUGCACAUCUUGACGGUACCUAAUCAGAAAGCCACGGCUAACUACGUG